rnacentral:lncRNA from 1 species
GUUUUGAGCUUGGAAUUCUUUAGGGGUGAAGGGUUUUGAGCUUGGAAUUCUUCAGGGGUAAAAGGUUUUGAGCUUGGAAUUCUUCAGGGGUAAAGAGUUUUGAGCUUGGAAUUUUGGAAUUCUUCAGGGGUAAAGAGUUUUGAGCUUGGAAUUCUUCAGGGGUAUGACAAUGAAAAACAUGUAUCCUCGACAGGGGGGGGUACGGAUAUUAAAUGGAAUAGCCCAUUGUAAACGUCUACUUUGUAAAUUAAAUUAAAUAAUUCUUCACAAACAUUCAUAGAUUUAAUUUAAAAACU